rnacentral:rRNA from 1 species
GAAUGCUAUUAUAUCAGCACUAACGCAUCGGAUCCCAUCAAACUCUUAAGUUAAGCGUGUUUGGGCGAGAGUAGUACUACGAUGGGUGACCCCCUGGGAAGUCUUCAUGUUGCAUCCC